rnacentral:rRNA from 1 species
UACGUAGGGUGCAAGCGUUACUCGGAAUUGCUGGGCGUAAAGCGUGCGCAGGCGGCUUUGCAAGACAGAUGUGAAAUCCCCGGGCUUAACCUGGGAACUGCAUUUGUGACUGCAUGGCUGGAGUGCGGCAGAGGGGGAUGGAAUUCCGCGUGUAGCAGUGAAAUGCGUAGAUAUGCGGAGGAACACCGAUGGCGAAGGCAGGUCUCUGGGCUGACACUGACGCUCAUGCACGAAAGCGUGGGGAGCAAACAGG